rnacentral:lncRNA from 1 species
AGACACUCAUGAUUGCAACUCUCAUUGUCACAAACAGACGACCCAGCACCUCUUAAUUCACCCAAGCUGAAGCCAAAUGCGAACCCUGAGAGCCACUUACUAUGAAAAUGUUUUUGCUAUUUAUUUUUGCCUUGAACAGAGCAAGACACCGUCUCAAAAAAAAAAAAAAAGUUUUUCCCAACUUUAGUUGGGAUUUGAAAAGCUAAUAUUAUUGGUUUUCAUACCAUGAGGUUUCUUAUUUCUUUAUAUAUAUAUAUUUGGAUAAUCAUCUGGUUUUUAUUGAUUACUCAUUAAAACCACGUAAGUUAUUGAUUACUCAUUGAAACCAUGUAAGUAUAUUCUUACAUGGUUUUGGAAACAUGGUAAAUGAACUCCCUGGGUCACUGGGAAAGUUGUAGCACUUCGCUUUUUGGUUCAUACACAUAAUUGUUAGCACUUCCUGAUUCCCAGGGACAUUGCAACACUUCCUGGUCAAGUAGAUGAGUAAUACUUAAAUAAAUAUUUCUUACUCAGCAUUUUGAUGUAUUUAUUCAUAGCCUUAGCUGAGGCAGGAAAAUCACUUGAACCCUGGAGGCAGAGGUUGCAGUAUAGAAACAUUUACUUAUUUUGUGAUUUGAAAAUGGACUUUUAUGUUUUAGGAAUUAUGUGGAUGGGAUGUUUUCUUGGGUGAUCGAUUUGAAAUUGCAGAGGGGAGCAGGUGCCAUGUGCUGGCAAUGGCCGGCCUUCCUUCCUUCCUUCCUUCCUUCCUUCCUUCCUUCCUUCCUUCCUUCCUUCCUCCAUUCCUCCUACCCCCCGUUUCUUCCUUCUUUCUCUCUCUUUCUUUCCUUUUCUCUUUUUCUUUCUUUUUCUUUCUUUUCUUUCUUUCUUUCUCUCUCUCUCUUUCUCUCUCUCUCUCUUUCAUUUUGUUUGUUUUAAUGAGUGAGAGUAAAGAGAAAGAAAAGAACUGUUUUUAUUUUUUGUCUACCUUUAUUGUAAGGAGAGAGUGAGGAUACCAUGCCACACAUGCAGGGUCCUGAGCAGAGGGCUGCACCCUGCUUAGUUCUAAAGACACCUAGACUUUAUCCUGAAAGCCACUGAGAGGCCCAUAUUUUGAAACACUCAGCCUCUCAGAAGAGGAUAGAAUGGGUUGCCAGUGUAAUAGGGAGAGAAAUCGAACAUAGCUGACUCCAUGUUGCUUCUGACUCCUCAAGCUAACUGCUUUUAGGCACUUCUGCACACGGGCCAAGUUAAUCAUGGAAAGAACUUAGAUUACAGUUUAACUGGAAAGCAAGGAUGAUAAGCGUUCCUUUCCAAAACUAACCUCUGAGGAGAUAAGAAGGGCAUGCACACAAGUAACAAUGUUAUAUUGAAGACUUGUAGGAGCGCUGUGACCUGAGCAAGGACAAAGUUUUGCAAUCUCCUUGGGCCCCUGCUGAUGCCCAAGUGUCUGUGGUCACCAGCCACCCCCCUCACCUCAGUCUCCUCCUUGUUCCCCUUCAGUGUACCCCUUCAAUGUACAAAGAAGCUUGAGAUUCAUGCCUUUAAAGAUGGUUCGUUAGGACAUGGGUCCAGUAUCUUCCUGACUUGCUGGCUCUCCAAAUAAAGAUGCUUUUCUUGCUCUAACUUUUUGUCUCGUGAAUCAUUGGCUGUUAUGCAGUGAGCCUCAGGAACUUUGGACUCCACAGCACCAGGACAACUCUCAGGACUCCCAGUCUCUAUUGGGUGCAGGAAUCACUGGGGAGUCUGGCUGAAGUGCAGACUCUGAUUGAGGAGGCCUGGGACACGAGGCCUGAGAUUCUGCAUCUCCAGUAAGCACCAAGGGGAUGUUGAUGCUGCUGAUCCAGGGACCACACCUUGGAGAGCAAUGCUGAGAAGCUGGUGGAAGAGCCCAGGCUCAUGAAGAUCUGAACAUGGUCCAUAGCAGGGAGGUUGGGGAAAUGAGAUAAAAAUGUUAAAAAUGGCAGUUACCUUCCUGGAGAAGAAAUGGCUUUUCCAUUCCUUAUUAGGCUCAUGUCUUUGGAACUAGCCCCCACUGGUCUCCUUCCUGUUAUAUACCUGCAGUUACCAUGUUCUUGUUAAGGAAGAAUGGCAAAUGCAAAAAAAAAAAAAAAAAAAGAGGAAGUUGAUCAUGUUUGGUUGCUUUUGGUCAUCACAAUAAAUAAAUAAAAUCUGAAAUUUCCCCCUGACUUUGCAAAUGUUUUCUUCCAAGGAGAGCAACAGACAUGUGUCAGCCUUAUUGGAUUUCUUUGGUUCCCGAACAGCCUGCCAUGAGGUAUGAAGGACACAUGACCUUUUAUGUAAUUGGUGAGACCCAAUGUCUUCCAGAUGUUGGGUGUCUCAUCCCAGUGUGAGGAUUUUUUUUUAUUAUUUUUUUGAGAUGGAGUCUUGCUCUGUUGCCCUGGCUAGAGUGCAAUGGUGCAAUGUUGGCUCACUGCAACCUCCACCUCUCAGGUUCAAGCGAUUUUCCUGUCUCAGCCUCCCGAGUAGCUGGGAUUACAGGUGCGUGCCACUACACCCAGCUAAUUUUUUGCAUUUUAGUAGAGACGGGAUUUCACUGUGUUGCCCAGGCUGGUCUUGAACUCCUGAGCUCAGGAAAUCCACGCCCCUCGGCCUCCCAAAGUGCUGGGAUUACAGGCAUGAGCCACCGCGACUGGCCGAGGAUUAAGUUUUUAAAACUUAAUUUCCCUUUAGAAAAGAGAAUUUAACCUAGAUGUUGGUUCUUAAUUUAUCUUGAGUAAAAGUUGUCUUUGCUAAUAUGAAUUUUUAAAGUCAUCAAUUGGUUCAUACAGUUUUGUGUGAUUCACCUCCAAA